rfam:Schistosoma margrebowiei strain Zambia genome assembly, scaffold: SMRZ_scaffold0003231
AGAUUUCCGAGUCCGUGUUAAAAUUUCGUCAGACACCAACCCAUUUGGGCUGAUCAGACUUCCAAGAUAAGUGAAGUU